rnacentral:rRNA from 1 species
CCCUUAGAUGUCCUGGGCUGCACGCGCGCUACACUGGAAGUUACGGAUUGAGAUACUACCUUGUCCGAAAUGGUCCGGGUAAUCACCUAAAAGCUUGUCAUAAUUGGAAUGGAUUAUUGUAACUAGUAAUCCUGAACGAGGAAUUCCUAGUAAGUCCCAGUCAACAGCUGGUACUGAUUACGUCCCUGCCCUUUGUACACACCGCCCGUCGCUACUACUGAUUGGACGUUUAAGCAAGAUUUUUAAACACUGACAGUGUGUAGUUCACGCUAUACUACAGUGCGAAGAAGAAGAUCGAGCUUACUUGUCUAGAGGAAGUAAAAGUCGUAACA